ACUGAACGCUGGCGGAAUGCUUUACACAUGCAAGUCGAACGAUGAACCUUAGCUUGCUAAGGGGAUUAGUGGCGAACGGGUGAGUAAUAUAUCGGAACGUACCUUGUAAUGGGGGAUAACUAGUCGAAAGAUUAGCUAAUACAGCAUACGCCCUGAGGGGGAAAGUAGGGGAUCUUCGGACCUUACGUUAUAAGAGCGGCCGAUAUCUGAUUAGCUAGUUGGUGGGGUAAUGGCCUACCAAGGCGACGAUCAGUAGCUGGUCUGAGAGGACGACAGCCACACUGGAACUGAGACACGGUCCAGACUCCUACGGGAGGCAGCAGUGGGGAAUUUUGGACAAUGGGCGCAAGCCUGAUCCAGCCAUUCCGCGUGAGUGAAGAAGGCCUUCGGGUUGUAAAGCUCUUUCGCAAGGGAGGAAAACUUACAUUCUAAUAAAGUGUGAGGCUGACGGUACCUUGAUAAGAAGCACCGGCUAACUACGUGCCAGCAGCCGCAGUAA
rnacentral:rRNA from 1 species